rnacentral:siRNA from 1 species
UCCCGCUUCAUCCGGAAAAGGUCC